GCUGAUGUUGAUGGAGGCUGAAGAGGUGAUGCCAAAGUUGGCCACCGGGCAGGUCCCACAGCCCAGCUCCUGGGGCCUUCCAGAGGUUGGCGAAGAGUUAACUUUCCGGAGCGGCUCCCUAGGCGCCGCGCCGCUAGGGUUGUUCCCUAGUUUACGUCUCUGGGCAAAGCCUCUCGGGGAAGGAAAAAAAACAGCGAUACUUUUCUUUUUUUUACUGGUAUGACAAUGACAAGGAAGACAGUCUCUGUGCCGGGAUUUAAACACGGGUUUUCAGGCGAGCGAUUUCUGUGUGAACUGUCAUUAAAUGUCAGAUAAUGAAGACGGAACCAAAUCAGCAAAUCUCACCAUCCCAUGUCAUGUUCUGAAAAUGGUGUUUCUCUGCUUGCAUCUCUCUGUUCUUAGACCUUUCCAACAGCAUCUUUCUGUGGUAUUAACGGGUUAAAAUUUACGGAGAAUUCGUUUUUCUUAGACGAACAAUUCUAGCCUUGUGGAAUCAAUACUCUCUUUUACUUAAUUACAGAAAUAUAAUUUUAAACAUUUAUUUUGUUAAGAGCUUCCCAAUAACCAGGGAUUAAUAAAAGAAUGACAGGAACAGACUAGAUUCAUAGAGAUUUUUAAUAAUCACCAGCUAUGGGAGAUACAGCUUAACUUUGAUGCCUCACGUUGUUCCUUCUAAAUUGUUUUCACCUUUCUAAGCAAGAAAAUUAAGUAUUAAAGUAGUUCUUAUCGAGACUUUAUUUCUAAUAAUGAGCUGUUAAGAAUCUAAACACGGGUGGGCGCGAUGGCCCACGCCUGUAAUCCCAGCACUUUUGGAGGCCGAGGCGGGCGGAUCACGAGGUCAGGAGUUCGAAACCAGUCUGGCCAAGAUGGUGAAACCCCGCCUCGACUAAAAAUACAAAAAAUUAGCCAGGUGUUGCGGUGUGCGUCUGUAAUCCCGGGUACUCGGGAAGCUGAGGCAGAAGUAUCGCGUGAACCCGGGAGGCGGAGGUUGCAGUGAGCCGAGAUCACGCCAUUGCACUCCAGCCCCGGGCGACAGAGUGAGACUCCAUCUCAAAAAAGAAAAAAAAAAAAAAAAGAACCUAAACACUCCUGGCAAGGAAGUAAGUAAAACUGGCUACAGGAAAUAUUCUGACUUUUCAUAGUGAGUGCACCCUGAAGCCUAUACUAGGAACCAGAAUAUACGGACAGGACUUAGAUUAUCUUACCAUUUUUUUAAAAAGUGAAGGCAAAAACAUCAUAAAGUACAACUUUCAAAACUUCUCUACAGGCACCACACCCUUUAUGACAUUAAAAAAAAGGGUGACAGAAUUUGGCAAACUGCUUUAUAUCCUGAAACACUCUCAACCCAAUAAAAAUGUCUUUAAAACAGGGAA